CCUACGGGGUGCAGCAGUGAGGAAUAUUGGUCAAUGGACGAGAGUCUGAACCAGCCAAGUAGCGUGAAGGAUGACUGCCCUAUGGGUUGUAAACUUCUUUUAUAUGGGAAUAAAAUGUUCCACGUGUGGGAUUUUGUAUGUACCAUAUGAAUAAGGAUCGGCUAACUCCGUGCCAGCAGCCGCGGUAAUACGGAGGAUCCGAGCGUUAUCCGGAUUUAUUGGGUUUAAAGGGAGCGUAGGUGGAUUGUUAAGUCAGUUGUGAAAGUUUGCGGCUCAACCGUAAAAUUGCAGUUGAAACUGGCAGUCUUGAGUACAGUAGAGGUGGGCGGAAUUCGUGGUGUAGCGGUGAAAUGCUUAGAUAGCACGAAGAACUCCGAUUGCGAAGGCAGUUCACUGGACUGCAACUGACACUGAGGCUCGAAAGUGUGGGUAUCAAACAGGAUUAGAUACCCUUGUAGUC
rnacentral:rRNA from 1 species